rnacentral:rRNA from 1 species
GUUGUCCGGAUUAUUGGGCGUAAAGAGCUUGUAGGCGGUUUGUCGCGUCUGCUGUGAAAGGCCGGGGCUUAACUCCGUGUAUUGCAGUGGGUACGGGCAGACUAGAGUGCAGUAGGGGAGACUGGAAUUCCUGGUGUAGCGGUGGAAUGCGCAGAUAUCAGGAGGAACACCGAUGGCGAAGGCAGGUCUCUGGGCUGUAACUGACGCUGAGAAGCGAAAGCAUGGGGAGCGAACAGGAUUAGAUACCCUGGUAGUCCAUGCCGUAAACGUUGGGCACUAGGUGUGGGGGACAUUCCACGUUUUCCGCGCCGUAGCUAACGCAUUAAGUGCCCCGCCUGGGGAGUACGGCCGCAAGGCUAAAACUCAAAGAAAUUGACGGGGGCCCGCACAAGCGGCGGAGCAUGCGGAUUAAUUCGAUGCAACGCGAAGAACCUUACCAAGGCUUGACAUAUACUGGACCGCAUCAGAGAUGGUGUUUCCCUUCGGGGCUGGUAUACAGGUGGUGCAUGGUUGUCGUCAGCUCGUGUCGUGA